rnacentral:rRNA from 1 species
CCUACGGGAGGCAGCAGUGGGGAAUAUUGGACAAUGGGCGCAAGCCUGAUCCAGCCAUACCGCGUGUGUGAAGAAGGCCUUUUGGUUGUAAAGCACUUUAAGCGAGGAGGAGGCUCUUGAGGUUAAUACCCUUGAUGAGUGGACGUUACUCGCAGAAUAAGCACCGGCUAACUCUGUGCCAGCAGCCGCGGUAAUACAGAGGGUGCGAGCGUUAAUCGGAAUUACUGGGCGUAAAGCGCGCGUAGGCGGCUUGUUAAGUCGGAUGUGAAAUCCCCGGGCUCAACCUGGGCACUGCAUUCGAUACUGGCAAGCUAGAGUAUGGGAGAGGAAGGUAGAAUUCCAGGUGUAGCGGUGAAAUGCGUAGAGAUCUGGAGGAAUACCGAUGGCGAAGGCAGCCUUCUGGCCUAAUACUGACGCUGAGGUGCGAAAGCAUGGGGAGCAAACAGGAUUAGAUACCCUGGUAGUCCAUGCCGUAAACGNUGUCAACUAGCCGGUUGGGGACCUUGAGUUCUUUAGGUGGCCGCGAGCGACGCGAAGUAGUUAGUUACCGCCGUGGGUUAGGUUACGGUCGCGAGACGAACGUUACGAAGAAGUUAGACGGCGNGAGACGNGCGACGGACGACGACGAGGGAGUUAGG